UGGUCCUACGGGGCGCAGCAGUGAGGAAUAUUGGUCAAUGGGCGGAAGCCUGAACCAGCCAAGUCGCGUGAGGGAAUAAGGCCCUACGGGUCGUAAACCUCUUUUGCCGGGGAGCAAGGGCCGGGACGCGUCCCGGCCCGGAGAGUACCCGGAGAAAAAGCAUCGGCUAACUCCGUGCCAGCCGCCGCGGUAAUACGGAGGAUGCGAGCGUUAUCCGGAUUUAUUGGGUUUAAAGGGUGCGUAGGCGGGCUUUUAAGUCAGCGGUAAACAUUCGGGGCUCACCCCCGUCCGGCCGUUGAAACUGG
rnacentral:rRNA from 1 species